rnacentral:rRNA from 1 species
GUGACGGUACCUACANAAGAAGCACCGGCUAACUAUGUGCCAGCAGCCGCGGUAAUACAUAGGGUGCAAGCGUUGUCCGGAAUUAUUGGGCGUAAAGAGCUCGUAGGUNGUUUGUYACGUCGGAUGUGAAAACCUGAGGCUCAACCUNNGGCCUGCAUUCGAUACGGGCAAACUAGAGUUUGGUAGGGGAGACNGGAAUUCCUGGUGUAGCGGUGGAAUGCGCAGAUAUCAGGAGGAACACCAAUGGCGAAGGCAGGUCUCUGGGCCAAUACUGACACUGAGGAGCGAAAGUCUGGGGAGCGAACAGGAUUAGAUACCCUGGUAGUCCAGACCGUAAACGGUGGGCACUAGUUGUGGGAACCUUCCACGGUUUCUGCGACGCAGCUAACGCAUUAAGUGCCCCGCCUGGGGAGUACGAUCGCAAGAUUAAAACUCAAAUGAAUUGACG